rnacentral:rRNA from 1 species
CAAUAGCGUAUAUUAAAGUUGUUGCAGUUAAAAAGCUCGUAGUUGGACCUUGGACCUGGACAGGCGGUCCGCCUCACGGCGUGUACUGUCUUGCUGGGUCUUUCCUCUUGGUGAUCUGUUGUUUCGGCAGCAGGGAACCAGGACUUUUACUUUGGAAAAAUUAGAGUGUUCAAAGCAGGCUCGACGCCGGAAUAUAUUAGCAUGGAAUAAUAAAAUAGGACGUGCGGUUCUAUUUUGUUGGUUUUUGGAAUCGCCGUAAUGAUUAAUAGGGACAGUCGGGGGCAUUAGUACUCACAUGCUAGAGGUGAAAUUCUUGGAUUUUGUGAAGACUAACUUCUGCGAAAGCAUUUGCCAAGGAUGUUUUCAUUAA